rnacentral:rRNA from 1 species
AACCAACAGGGAUUGCCCUAGUAACGGCGAGUBAAGCGGCAACAGCUCAAAUUUGAAAUCUGGCUCUUUUAGGGCCCGAGUUGUAAUUUGCAGAGGGCGCUUUGGCUUUGGUAGCGGUCCAAGUUCCUUGGAACAGGACGUCACAGAGGGUGAGAAUCCCGUACGUGGUCGCUAGCUAUUGCCGUGUAAAGCCCCUUCGACGAGUCGAGUUGUUUGGGAAUGCAGCUCUAAAUGGGAGGUAAAUUUCUUCUAAAGCUAAAUAUUGGCAGAGACCGAUAGCGCACAAGUAGAGUGAUCGAAAGAUGAAAAGCACUUUGGAAAGAGAGUCAAACAGCACGUGAAAUUGUUGAAAGGGAAGCGCUUGCAGCCAGACUUGCUUGCAGUUGCUCAUCCGGGCUUUUGCCCGGUGCACUCUUCUGUAGGCAGGCCAGCAUCAGUUUGGGCGGUGGGAUAAAGGUCUCUGACACGUUCCUUCCUUCGGGUUGGCCAUAUAGGGGAGACGUCAUACCACCAGCCUGGACUGAGGUCCGCGCAUCUGCUAGGAUGCUGGCGUAAUGGCUGUAAGCGGCCCGUCUUGAAACACGGACCAAGGAGUCUAACAUCUAUGCGAGUGUUUGGGUGUCAAGCCCGAGCGCGUAAUGAAAGUGAACGGAGGUGGGAACCCGCAAGGGCGCACCAUCGACCGAUCCUGAAGUUUACGGAAGGAUUUGAGUAAGAGCAUGGCUGUUGGGACCCGAAAGAUGGUGAACUAUGCUUGAAUAGGGUGAAGCCAGAGGAAACUCUGGUGGAGGCUCGCAGCGGUUCUGACGUGCAAANCGAUCGUCAAAUUUGGGCAUAGNGGCGAAAGACUAAUCGAACUA